GAAUGCUGACAUAAGUAACGAUAAAGCGGGUGAAAAGCCCGCUCGCCGGAAGACCAAGGGUUCCUGUCCAACGUUAAUCGGGGCAGGGUGAGUCGACCCCUAAGGCGAGGCCGAAAGGCGUAGUCGAUGGGAAACGGGUUAAUAUUCCCGUACUUGGUGUUACUGCGAAGGGGGGACGGAGAAGGCUAUGUUGGCCGGGCGACGGUUGUCCCGGUUUAAGCGUGUAGGUGUGUGUUCCAGGUAAAUCCGGUUCACUUUAACACUGAGGCGUGACGACGAGGCACUACGGUGCUGAAGCAACAAAUGCCCUGCUUCCAGGAAAAGCCUCUAAGCAUCAGGUAACAUCAAAUCGUACCCCAAACCGACACAGGUGGUCAGGUAGAGAAUACCAAGGCGCUUGAGAGAACUCGGGUGAAGGAACUAGGCAAAAUGGUGCCGUAACUUCGGGAGAAGGCACGCUGACAUGUAGGUGAAGUGAUUUACUCAUGGAGCUGAAGUCAGUCGAAGAUACCAGCUGGCUGCAACUGUUUAUUAAAAACACAGCACUGUGCAAACACGAAAGUGGACGUAUACGGUGUGACGCCUGCCCGGUGCCGGAAGGUUAAUUGAUGGGGUCAGCGCAAGCGAAGCUCCUGAUCGAAGCCCCGGUAAACGGCGGCCGUAACUAUAACGGUCCUAAGGUAGCGAAAUUCCUUGUCGGGUAAGUUCCGACCUGCACGAAUGGCGUAAUGAUGGCCAGGCUGUCUCCACCCGAGACUCAGUGAAAUUGAACUCGCUGUGAAGAUGCAGUGUACCCGCGGCAAGACGGAAAGACCCCGUGAACCUUUACUAUAGCUUGACACUGAACAUUGAGCCUUGAUGUGUAGGAUAGGUGGGAGGCUUUGAAGCGUGGACGCCAGUCUGCGUGGAGCCGACCUUGAAAUACCACCCUUUAAUGUUUGAUGUUCUAACGUGGACCCGUAAUCCGGGUUGCGGACAGUGUCUGGUGGGUAGUUUGACUGGGGCGGUCUCCUCCUAAAGAGUAACGGAGGAGCACGAAGGUUGGCUAAUCCUGGUCGGACAUCAGGAGGUUAGUGCAAUGGCAUAAGCCAGCUUGACUGCGAGCGUGACGGCGCGAGCAGGUGCGAAAGCAGGUCAUAGUGAUCCGGUGGUUCUGAAUGGAAGGGCCAUCGCUCAACGGAUAAAAGGUACUCCGGGGAUAACAGGCUGAUACCGCCCAAGAGUUCAUAUCGACGGCGGUGUUUGGCACCUCGAUGUCGGCUCAUCACAUCCUGGGGCUGAAGUAGGUCCCAAGGGUAUGGCUGUUCGCCAUUUAAAGUGGUACGCGAGCUGGGUUUAGAACGUCGUGAGACAGUUCGGUCCCUAUCUGCCGUGGGCGCUGGAGAACUGAGGGGGGCUGCUCCUAGUACGAGAGGACCGGAGUGGACGCAUCACUGGUGUUCGGGUUGUCAUGCCAAUGGCACUGCCCGGUAGCUAAAUGCGGAAGAGAUAAGUGCUGAAAGCAUCUAAGCACGAAACUUGCCCCGA
rnacentral:rRNA from 1 species